AGCAAUAUUUUCAAGAAACAACUUUUUAAAUUCUAAUUUAAUAGAAGUCAAGUUAUGAUCUGAGAGAUAACUUAAAAAUGGAAAGUUAUUUAGAAACAAGAUAAAAGGCAAAACACCAAACUUCAUACAAACUUAAAUGUUUGACAUUUAAAAAUUAAAGAGAUUUUUUUUUAAGUGUAUUUGAGACAAAUAAGCCAACCUUGGUACAUAACCGCUGAAAACUAAAAAACCGUACCCUAAACCAACACAGGUGGAUAGGUCGAGUAGACUAAGGUGUAUGAGAUAAUUAUGUUGAAGGAACUCGGCAAAAUGACUCUGUAACUUCGGGAGAAAGAGUACCUUUUUAUUUAAAUGUUUAUCGACGAAAUAAUAA
rnacentral:rRNA from 1 species